CCUACGGGAGGCAGCAGUGGGGAAUAUUGCACAAUGGGCGAAAGCCUGAUGCAGCAACGCCGCGUGAAGGAAGAAGGGUCUCGGCUCGUAAACUUCUAUCUACAGGGACGAAAGAAAUGACGGUUCCUGACUAAUAAGCCCCGGCUAACUACGUGCCAGCAGCCGCGGCAAUACGUAGGGGGCAGGCGUUAUCCGGAAUUACUGGGUGUAAAGGGUGAGUAGGCGGGAUGGUAAGCCAGAUGUGAAAGCCUUGGGCUUAACCCGAGGAUUGGAGUUGGAACUAGCAGGCUAGAGUACAGGAGAGGAAGGCGGAAUGCGUGGUGUAGCGGUGAAAUGCAUAGAUAUUAGGAAGAACACCGGUGGCGAAGGCAGCUUGCUGGACUGAAACUGACGCUGAGGCACGAAAGCGUGGGGAGCGAACAGGAUUAGAUACCCGAGUAGUC
rnacentral:rRNA from 1 species